rnacentral:rRNA from 1 species
GUUUGAUCCUGGCUCAGGACGAACGCUGGCGGCGUGCCUAAUACAUGCAAGUCGAACGAAGCUUUCUUUCACCGAAUGCUUGCAUUCACCGAAAGAAGCUUAGUGGCGAACGGGUGAGUAACACGUAGGCAACCUGCCCAAAAGAGGGGGAUAACACUUGGAAACAGGUGCUAAUACCGCAUAACCAUGAACACCGCAUGAUGUUCAUGUAAAAGACGGCUUUUGCUGUCACUUUUGGAUGGGCCUGCGGCGUAUUAACUUGUUGGUGGGGUAACGGCCUACCAAGGUGAUGAUACGUAGCCGAACUGAGAGGUUGAUCGGCCACAUUGGGACUGAGACACGGCCCAAACUCCUACGGGAGGCAGCAGUAGGGAAUCUUCCACAAUGGACGAAAGUCUGAUGGAGCAACGCCGCGUGAAUGAAGAAGGCCUUCGGGUCGUAAAAUUCUGUUGUCAGAGAAGAACGUGCGUGAGAGUAACUGUUCACGUAUUGACGGUAUCUGACCAGAAAGCCACGGCUAACUACGUGCCAGCAGCCGCGGUAAUACGUAGGUGGCGAGCGUUGUCCGGAUUUAUUGGGCGUAAAGGGAACGCAGGCGGUCUUUUAAGUCUGAUGUGAAAGCCUUCGGCUUAACCGAAGUAGUGCAUUGGAAACUGGAAGACUUGAGUGCAGAAGAGGAGAGUGGAACUCCAUGUGUAGCGGUGAAAUGCGUAGAUAUAUGGAAGAACACCAGUGGCGAAAGCGGCUCUCUGGUCUGUAACUGACGCUGAGGUUCGAAAGCGUGGGUAGCAAACAGGAUUAGAUACCCUGGUAGUCCACGCCGUAAACGAUGAGUGCUAAGUGUUGGAGGGUUUCCGCCCUUCAGUGCUGCAGCUAACGCAUUAAGCACUCCGCCUGGGGAGUACGGUCGCAAGACUGAAACUCAAAGGAAUUGACGGGGGCCCGCACAAGCGGUGGAGCAUGUGGUUUAAUUCGAAGCAACGCGAAGAACCUUACCAGGUCUUGACAUCUUCUGACAAUUCCAGAGAUGGAACGUUCCCUUCGGGGACAG